rnacentral:rRNA from 2 species
CAGGCGCGAAAACUUUACAAUGCGGGCAACCGUGAUAAGGGAACCUCGAGUGCCUGUAUAUGCAGGCUGUCCAGGUGUCUAAAACACACCUGAAGAAAGGGCCGGGCAAGACCGGUGCCAGCCGCCGCGGUAAUACCGGCGGCUCGAGUGGUGGCCGCUUUUAUUGGGCUUAAAGCGUUCGUAGCUGGGUCGUUAAGUCUCUUGGGAAAUCCGGCAGCUUAACUGUCGGGCGUCUAAGGGAUACUGGCGAUCUUGGAACCGGGAGAGGUGAGGGGUACUUCAGGGGUAGGAGUGAAAUCCUGUAAUCCUUGAGGGACCACCUGUGGCGAAGGCGCCUCACCAGAACGGCUUCGACAGUGAGGGACGAAAGCUGGGGGAGCAAACCGGAUUAGAUACCCGGGUAGUCCCAGCCGUAAACGAUGUGCGUUAGGUGUAUCGACGACCACGAGUCGUCGAGGUGCCGAAGGGAAACCGUGAAACGUACCGCCUGGGAAGUACGGUCGCAAGGCUGAAACUUAAAGGAAUUGGCGGGGGAGCACCACAACAGGUGGAGCCUGCGGUUUAAUUGGACUCAACGCCGGGAAGCUCACCGGAUAAGACAGCUGAAUGAUUGCCGGGCUGAAGACUCUGCAUGACUAGCUGAGAGGAGGUGCAUGGCCGUCGUCAGUUCGUACUGUGAAGCAU